rnacentral:rRNA from 1 species
AGUAACGCGUGAGGAACCUGCCUCAAAGAGGGGACGAACAGUUGGAAACGACUGCUAAUACCGCAUAAGCCCACGGCUCGGCAUCGAGCAGAGGGAAAAGGAGCAAUCCGCUUUGAGAUGGCCUCGCGUCCGAUUAGCUAGUUGGUGAGGUAACGGCCCACCAAGGCGACGAUCGGUAGCCGGACUGAGAGGUUGAACGGCCACAUUGGGACUGAGACACGGCCCAG